rnacentral:lncRNA from 1 species
CAAUGGGAGAGAGUCAUUACUCAAACUCAUGGAGAGAAUGGCUGUAGGACAGGAAUUGUGUCUUUAAGUAGAAUAACACAGGUGAUCCUUGUUAAUCUGAAAGACUAGAAAAAGCUCACUAGUAUCUCUCCCCUCUUUACAUUUCAGUGUUGGGCUUGUACUCUCAUUGCUUAACCUUAACGAGAAGCCACACGGCAAGGAAAUCUUCAUGUAGUCCAUGCAGGGGACAAGAGCCCAGACCUUGCUGAGCUGUGGGUGGCAGAAACAAGAGAGCUGUAACAUACCCGUGUUUGCCAUGCUGCCAGCAUGAAGAAGUGAAGCCACUGGAUACCACUCCCUACUGCUUGCUGAGCAAUGGAUACACAUGUCAGAGUGUGUAUUUAGAGAUAAACUGACAUCCAAUCUGCAGCCUGCAUGCAAAAGUCUUACGCAAAAAAGAAAGAAGCUCUAAAGCAAGUGUGGUAAAAUGUUAACAUUUGAGAAUUUGAAAGAAAGGCUGAAGGGGCUUUCUGGGUAUCUGCUGGAAGAUUAAAGACAUUUAUUGCCUAUGCCUGCCUAGGGCAAGGGACAGGAUACAGGGCAAGAAGAAGACAGAUCCAAAAGCCUGGGAAAACAGAGGCCAAAGACGAAAUUCCUUGGGAGAGUAAGAGUUCAGAACAGCAACUACGCAUAUAGGAGAAAACAAAGUGCAACUUUUCCUCAGAAAAGAUGGACUUGGUGGAUCUGUGGGCCCGGUGCAAGCAAGAGGUGGAGGCUGACACAAAAUUGUAGUUGGCCUGGCUCAGGGGUGAAAAGAGAUCCAUCUCAGAUGCUCAAAGAUGGAGAAAGAAGUGUGUUGUGUUGUGUUGUGUUGUGUUUUCCUCCAGGCAUUUAAGAUAACCAAUCCAACCAAUCAUAUCUCAGGACGCUGAAGACAGAAUGUUUGCAGGCUCUCCCAGAAAAUAGCUAAGGAGGACAUUUGUAUUCUUCCUCUUUUCAUGUCAUCGGUACUUCCUCUCUAUAUGGAUCACUGAAGUGUAACAUUUUAUGAUUCAUGUUUGAGUAUGGGAAGCAGGGGGUGUGACCCCUUAUUGUUACACUUCAGUCUGUUUUACCACAUUUUUUUGCACAUAAGGUUCAAAAUCAACAACCCAGUAGUGUUUUUACUUUCCUUGCCAUUCUUUUCAAGUGGAUUUUUAAUCCACUGAGGACCUUCUGGAGAAAGUAGGCUAUGGUUUUGGUCAGUAUUUUCAUAUUUCUGGAUUCCUAGGCCACGCUACCAUCUAUUAGAGUUUCAUUGUUUAUAUUAUCUGGCAUAUUGAGACCAAAACAAAACAACAGAGAAGCCUUUAAAUAUUGUAAGAGUAUUGAAAACUGGAAAAAUAUUUGAAAAAUUUUGUGUGCUAAUGUAUAAUGUAAAAUUAAGUUCAUAGAACAAUGAUGAAAAUAAGUGAUAUUUAUACAAUAUGAUCCCAAUUCCUAAAUGUGUGAGGUUUUUUUCCUCCCUCAAAUUAUUUUUUAUUUGUUUGUUUGUGUACUUGAAGGUGAUCUCCCUUGUAAAUAAGAGUAAAAUUUCUAAGAUGGUCUGUAAAUAUUUUAAAUAUAGAAUCCGUAUAUUUUCAGGUUAAGAGUGCAAACCCUGGAGGCAACAACCCGUAUUUUAAUCCUGACCAGUCAAUUUUCUAACUGUACUGCCUUGGUCCAGUCACUUACCUACGUGCCUCAGCUUUCAUAUAUUUGAUAUGGAAAUAAUUAAAAUAUCUACCUUGUAGAGUUAUGAGAAUUAAAUAAUUUUUUAAAUGUGCCAAUUAUACCAAAUGUUCUCUAAAUGCCCCAAAAUAAUCAGACUAGAAUCAGGAAUGAAAAUAGUAGAUAUGAGAUGAGGCAAGAAACAAUGUCUUAGUUGUCAUAGUUGUUGCACACUGGAAAAAAAUCUGUUCAUUUAAAAUAUUUAUAUUUUUAGGUAUGUGGGCUCACCUACCCUAGUAGACCAUGCCCCAUGACUUUACAUGGAAAGAAAGCAUUCUUCAUAUGAGUAUUUUCCAGUAGUGAGCAUUCUCAAUGUCUUAAAAUAUCUUAGAACUUAUUUCCAAACUCACAAUGCAAAUCUAUGCAGAUUAAAUCCUUCUACCUACAUGAAUGGCCAGCUAGUUCCUAGGUGAGUAAAAAAAAAUUGAAUUAUUUCAUUCUUAAAGGGAAGAAACAAUUUAUGCUUAUAUUGUAAUUAUAGUUUAAGCAUUACAAAAUGUAGCAUGAUUACUCUAGAAAAAUGUUACACAACAGUAAUACUGAAUGUAAUCUUUUAUUUUAUUAUUCUUAUUUUUUUGGCAGGGUCUCAUUCUGUCACCCAGGCUGGAGCACAGUGGUAGUCAGAGCUCACUGCAGCCUUAACCUCCCGGGCUCAAGCAAUCCUCCCACCUCAACAGUCAGAGUAGCUGGGACUACAAGCAUGAGCCAGCACACCUGGUCAGUGAAUGUAAUAUUUUAUAUGCAUCAGUUUCCAUAUAACUAAAGCUUUUAAGGAAAAAUGUUUACUCUGACAAUAGCCAUAUUUAUACCAGUUAUUCGCUAAACUGAGUAUCCUAGCCAUGGGAUUCUAAUAUGUUUUCCAUUAAAACAAAACAAAACAAAAUGAAAAUUAUUUUUCAAUCAUCAAGUGUCAAUUUUGCUGUUGUCAAGAGGUAUGCCUCUUCUUACCCUUUAUAAGACACUAUUUUUAUUAUGCUGUGGUGUAUGAAACCUGGUAACUUUAUUCAAGUGUACAAUUCUUGCUCAUGGGCUUUUAAACGUAUAAUUCAACUUUUAAAAAAUCUGAGAUUUCUUUCCAGUUUGUUGGCUGAGUCUGGAUAGUCCACAUUGUCAGAUUAAUGGAAUAAAAAUGUGUCACAUCAUAAAGCCUAGAACUGUUGGAAUAAACUUUGCCAAUAUUACUUUAUUUUUAAAACAUAUCUUUUGUAUAUUGCUAACUAGGAUUGUUUUUGCCUUCUAAUUUUGAAAUGUGCGGGUGUUAUUUCACCAAGUAACUAAGCCUUUUCUUCGCAAAUACAUCUUAAUAAGUACUUUUAAUUUAAAUGAGUUCUUCUAAUAGUGAUUCCUAAGACGUCCAAGUGUGAUUUAAAGAGAGGGCUCUCCAAAUAUCAAAUAUAUAAUUAUUUUAAAUUAAUUUUAUGGAUUGCAAGGUGCCAAAUAAAGGAGGUGAUGAUCAAUGAUAAUAUAAGCUCAAAAUCACCUGGAAAUAAUUGUAAGUUCAAUAUAUUUUAUAUUAACAAAUUUUGUGGAAAGCUAUUAAUUAAAAUUUAUAUAUAAUAUGAAUUGUGUCUUCCUGCUUCCGCAUCUCGUU